UUGAAAUUGAUACAGAAUUGGCCGAGUUAUUUUAUAUGAAUACCUAAAGAUAGAGGUUUUUUAUGUGUGAAUACUUGUAAUUUAUUCGUUACAAUGCAGAAAUGAUCAAAUCAAAGCUCUGAAUUUCAAUCACCAACAUCAAACGCUCUCUCGUUUCGUAACAGCAGCCGAUUACUCUACACCAAGGUUAAAUCACCGGUUUAAUUUCGCUUUAUACUUGUCAACGUGAUCGAGUAUCAUCAUUCCCGUAGAAUCUGCAUCGUUUUAGGUUUUCAUGGUACGAUUUUCGCGUAGGAACUGGUAUUUUAUAGAAGAAGACUAUGAUCGGCCGUUUGAAUUUUUUAGCUGAAUUCCGGUUUACAGCGAUGAGAUUGCUGAUGAUGAGAAAGGUGAAAAUCGUGAUUCCGACUGUUGUGGCUUAAAAUCUACGUGAUUAUUGUAGUUCAAAUUUUGUUUGGCUGAAUUUUGGUUUGCAACGAUGAGAGUAUGAGAUUGUUGAUGAUGAGAAGGGGAACAUAGUAAUUCUGAAUGUUGUGGCUUAAACAGUGAGUGACCAUUGUUGUUUAGCUGAAUUUUGGUUUACAACGAUGAGAUUGUUGUUACUGAGAAGGGGAAAAUAGUAAUCUUGGUUUUUUUGAAUGAGAUUGAACCUUGGUGUAUAAAGUCAUAUAUGCUCAUUUUGACCCCUUACUGCAUGGAUAUUCUUCAUUUGUAGGUUUUUACCAGGAACGCGUAAUUGGUUAAAAUCAUGACGGUUAUACUGUGUGCCUUCUGGAGCUUAUUCUAGUGAGUUUGAUUCGUUGUUUUCGUUAUGAUUUAUUGAUUUCAAGAAUAAAUCAAGUUUUUCCAGUUUAUAUUUCAUCUCAUAUUUGAUUUGCAUGAGUUUUGAAUAUGUGCCGUUUGGUUUCUUAUCUGUUACUCGGUGAAUAGUUUGGUUGAGAAAUGAAGCCAUAUUAGUGUGGGAAGCAGAUUGGAUAUUGAUGUUUUGAGGUUUAGGGUACUGUGACUACUGUCUACUUGCAUACAAUUUGAUUAGAAUCCAUGGGUGUGUCAAUGAGAUGGUUAUGCUUAUGCAGAUGAAUGAAUUUCUAUGACACUUACUUUGAAUGUGAAUCGUGUUAAUAUAAUCCUUCACCAUGCCACAAAAGUUCUGCAAGCAAAUAAGUACAGUAGAUUUUAGUUCAGUCCAAAAAGUCCAAGGCCCAAAUAUGAUGGAUCUGAUUUUCUUUUGUAUACACCUAGAAACGAGACAUAAGGAGGUUUGAGCAUGCUGAAACAUGAUUAUGGCUCCAAAUCCUAUGAAACAUCAUUAACUGUAGUUUGGGGUUAAAAGUUUGGAAGCUUGUUGGAUGCAAAGGAAUACUACUUCUUUACAUAUUUACUUUUGUACUGGAAUGAAGUUGAACAUAUGUGAGGAUUAUCAUGUCCUCAGUGGGGUUCCUUAUCAACAACGCAGAGGAAAAGAGAAUCCAUUGUCUCUAGUGAAUGAGUGAAUCAAAAUCAUAUUCUUAUGGAUGCCUUAAAGCAUUUGUUUCUUUAAAAAAGCUGGUUUUGUGACCACUCUCAUGAUCUCAUCCACAUCAACACGUGGACAGAGACUGCUCAUGGCCUCAUUAUUCGUGGAACAUUUAUGAACUAUGUUCUCACUUUGCACCUUAUGGUGGAAUUACUGCAAUGGCGAUAAGGAUUGAUGCUGCUUAUCCAAGGCAUUGGAGCUAAAAAAGUUAAGAAGGAAUGCACACAAUUUCAAGAAUACUGCAAAGUAGAGAACAUUGAUGGGUGCGUGAGAACAUUCAAAGAGGUAAAACAAGAGCAUGCAACCCUCAAGAGGAAGCUUGAGAACUAUUUUCAGCUUGUAAGAGAAGCUCGUCUACAUCAAAGCCGCAAUGCGGAGGAAUGAAGAUGGUGAUUCCAAAUAAGUGAACGUUACUACUUGUAGAAUGAAAAACUGUUGACUAAAUAUGUAAAUGUUAGUACUUUCUUAGAAUGAAAUAACUUUUCACUAAAUAAGUAAAAUGUUACUAUCAGUAGAAUGAAAAUAACUUUUGACCA